GAUGAAGAACGCAGCGAAAUGCGAUACGUAAUGUGAAUUGCAGAAUUCAGUGAAUCAUCGAGUCUUUGAACGCACAUUGCGCCCCCUGGUAUUCCGGGGGGCAUGCCUGUCCGAGCGUCAUUGCUGCCCACAAGCACGGCUUGUGUGUUGGGCCUCCGUCCUCCUCCCGGGGGACGGGCCCGAAAGGCAGCGGCGGCACCGCGUCCGGUCCUCGAGCGUAUGGGGCUUCGUCACCCGCUCUUGUAGGCCCGGCCGGCGCUUGCCGACACAUCAAUCUUUUUUCCAGGUUGACCUCGGAUCAGGUAGGGAUACCCGCUGAACUUAAGCAUAUCAAUAAGCGGAGGA
rnacentral:misc_RNA from 1 species